UAUUGGACCCGACUCCACUUACCAUCAGGUGCACUGGGGUCACUUUGUCGUGCCUGUCAAAAAAAAUUAAAGAGCUGUAAUCUAUCACUUCAAUACGAAACAGACCAGUAAUUUGUGAAAACCACAAACCGCCUAUCAAAAUGCUAAUGGUCUUUCAACACGUGAUAUCAAUAUUGUAUCACACGUGUAAUACCUUUAACAGUUAUUUGAUUCAUAUAAAUAGAGAAUCAAUGAUAGCCUGACGUUAUUGAAGAGAAAUUCAACAAGAUGUCCAAAUUAAUUUUCGCGCUGUUGCUUAUCGCCCUGGUGGCGUCGACGUCAGCCUACGUGCUGAAGAAGGUGGUGUACCAGCCCCACUACGUGUACCCCAGAUACUACGUCCCUGGAGAUUUGUUCAGCGAUCCAGCUUACAUCAGGUGGAAUGCUCUGUAUGCUAAGUGAAGAUUUAAAUAAAGGGUGUUAAAAGGA